UGCGUUUGUUUGGACUUUUUGAAGCCCAAAACGCGCAUAAAUUAAAAAGUGGACAAGAAAAUGUGUUUGGCUGAGUCCAAAACGCAACUUUUUAAAAAAAGUUGCGUUUUGGGUUCAGGCAAAAUGCAAGUCCGAAACGCGCUGAAUUUAUGGACCUCUGAGGUCCAUAAAUCAAAACGCGCUGCUGGCGUUUUGGACAUUAUUACCGUUGGACGUUUCAUUUACGAAAAUGCCCCUAAUAUCUCACGCAAACUCACACAAACUUAUCAGUUCUCUCACACUCACCCAUCUCAUCUCUCUGCUCUUCACUCCGGACGCCCUCACCCCCACGCCUCCCAGCCUCGCUUGUAUUUCUGCGCUCUGCUCCGUGGUAGAGAUUUGCUACCAAAACACUGAGUAACACUGAUCUGCUACCAAAAACCACCAGAUGGGUAAAAACACCACUUCCAAUCCCGAGGCAAAAAAGGCUAGAGCAUUAUGGGAUAAUGAUUCAAGCUGAACAACUACUUUUUGUAACCUUUGUGUGGAACAGAUUCAAAUCGGGAAUAGAUCAAGAGGUGCUGCCUUUAGUACCAAAGGUUGGACCAAUCUAGUGACCAAAUUUUGUGAUGAGACCGGUCAAAACUAUGAUAGGGAUCAAUUUAAUCAUCUUCUAUCAUCUUUUUUACAUUUUUGUGUUGUACAAUUUAA